GGUGCGCGAGUGGUGGUGGUUUUCACAGGACUCCUUUUUGGCUGGAGACCUGGCUCUUCCCUACCUCCUGCGGUGCUUUUUAUAGGCGAUCACAGGGAAGGUCCACCCCGUGGUGACCUCGGACCUCAGCAAAGUCUCAAAAACCAUUUCAGUGUCCCCUCUCACAUGCUCGGAAAGACCAUGUCUUCCCGGCUGUCCAAAGAACUGCGGCGGAAGUACAACGUCCGCUCCGUUCCCAUCCGCAAGGACGACGAGGUCCAGAUAUGAAGAAACUGAAACUCAAGCUAAAUAGUGAGCUGAGGAUGACCUUGAACCUCUGAUCUUCCUGAAUGCCGGCCUGAGAACACAGGCACGUGCUCCUGUACUAGACGUACACAGUGCCAGGCACGUGCUCCUGUACUAGGUGACACAUGGAAGCCAGAAUGGGAUUUAGAUCCUCUAUGGACAUGCAUCUGCAGUUGACUCCGAUUGGGUAUCAGAAGGUCAACAGGCACCAUGACUUUGUC